GUGUAGAGCUUCAUGGGCAUGGGCAUGGUAGAACUUCGUGGUCAUCCUGGUCAUGGUCAUGGGUCUAGAACUUCAUGGUCAUGGUCAUCAUGGCCAUGGGUGCAAAGCUUCAUGGUCAUGGUCAUGGGUGUAGAGGUUCAUGGUCAUGGUCAUCAUGGCCAUGGGUGUAGAGCUUCAUGGGCAUGGGCAUGGUAGAACUUCGUGGUCAUCAUGGUCAUGGUCAUGGGUCUAGAGCUUCAUGGUCAUGAGUAUAGAGGUUCUUGGUCAUGGCCAUGGUUGUAGAGGUUCAUGGUCAUGGUCGUCACGGUCAUGGNNNNNNNNNNAGAGUCUUUUUUUUUUUUUUUUCAUUUUUGCUGAAAUUCCAGAACCAAAAAUGAAAAAUUGGGUUUUGAAAAAUUUGUUUUUUAAAAAAAAACAACUUUUGAAAAAAGUAUUUUUUCAAACGACCAAAAAUUUGUGUUCUCUACCGGAGGAGAUCAAUAUAUUAAAUAUUAAAGUUUGUUAAAAUAAAAUUUUUGUGCAAGGUGGCUCUCCCAACCAACCACAAAAUUCACUUUUUUUUCUUUUUUUUUUAAUUUCCAAUUAUGAAAGCACCAAAAAUGAAGAAUUCUGAGCUCUAAACGUCUGCUCUCCCACAAUUCAACUGCGGAGCAAAAUUCCUAGAAAAACAGGAAAGCAAAAAAUUCAGUAACGCACCUUACGGCCCUCCCACCUUCCUUUCCAGCUGUGGUUUUGCAGCCGUAAUUCCUGGUUUUAUUCCGUCUCGUUAUCAGCCGGGCGUGUCAUUUGCUAACGAACCCGGCCAAUGGCAGCUACACGCUGCCGUAAAUGGCUUUAAUUUUUAAUUUAUUUUUUUUUAAAGGUUUACAGUUUCGCUGAUUCUGCAGAGCGUCCAAUGCAGGCGUUUCCCUGAAUUACAGUACUACGUGAUAAAAUAUAAAUUAAAAAAAAAUAAAUUUCUGAGGGUUUAUUGCCCAUUUGCAGUGAGCCACGAUUACCUGAAAUUAAGGCAUCAAAAUUAGAAAUAAAAUUAGAAUUAAAAUGACAUCGAGGCACUACAAAUAAAAUUAGAAUUAAAAUUAGGAUUAAAAAUGAAAUCAGGUGAUUAAAAUUAAAUUUAGAAUUUUAGAAUUAGAACUAGAGUUAGAACUAGAGUUAGAAUUGAAAUUAAUAGAACUAAAAUUAGGAUUAAAAAUGAAAUCAGGUGAUUAAAAUUAAAUUUAGAAUUAUUAGAAUUUUAGAAUUAGAACUAGAGUUAGAACUAGAGUUAGAAUUAAAAUUAAUAGAACUAAAAUUAGAAAUUAAAAUUAAAAUU
rnacentral:lncRNA from 1 species